GUGACAUACCAAUUGUUGCCUCGGCGGAUCAGCCCGCUCCCGGUAAAACGGGACGGCCCGCCAGAGGACCCCUAAACUCUGUUUCUAUAUGUAACUUCUGAGUAAAACCAUAAAUAAAUCAAAACUUUAAACAACGGAUCUCUUGGUUCUGGCAUCGAUGAAGAACGCAGCAAAAUGCGAUAAGUAAUGUGAAUUGCAGAAUUCAGUGAAUCAUCGAAUCUUUGAACGCACAUUGCGCCCGCCAGUAUUCUGGCGGGCAUGCCUGUUCGAGCGUCAUUUCAACCCUCAAGCCCCCGGGUUUGGUGUUGGGGAUCGGCGAGCCCUUGCGGCAAGCCGGCCCCGAAAUCUAGUGGCGGUCUCGCUGCAGCUUCCAUUGCGUAGUAGUAAAACCCUCGCAACUGGUACGCGGCGGGCCAAGCCGUUAAACCCCAAACUUCUGAAUGUUGACCUCGGAUCAGGUAGGAAUACCCGCUGAACUUAAGCAUAUCAAUAAGCGGAGGAA
rnacentral:rRNA from 1 species